rnacentral:rRNA from 1 species
UACGUAGGUGGCAAGCGUUGUCCGGAUUUACUGGGCGUAAAGGGCGUGCAGGCGGUUUGUUAAGUGCAGGGUGAAAGCUCCCGGCUCAACUGGGAGAGGUCCUUGCAUACUGGCAAACUCGAGGGAGGCAGAGGAAAGUGGAAUUCCCGGUGUAGUGGUGAUAUGCGUAGAUAUCGGGAGGAACACCUGUGGCGAAGGCGGCUUUCUGGGCCUUAACUGACGCUGAGGCGCGAAAGCAUGGGGAGCGAACGGG